UACCAGCACCCCGAGUGGUCGGGACGAUUAUUGGGCCUAAAGCAUCCGUAGCCGGUCAUGCAAGUCUUCCGUUAAAUCCAGCCGCUCAACGGUUGGGCUGCGGAGGAUACUACGUGGCUAGGAGGCGGGAGAGGCAAGCGGUACUCAGUGGGUAGGGGUAAAAUCCGUUGAUCCAUUGAAGACCACCAGUGGCGAAGGCGGCUUGCCAGAAUGCGCUCGACGGUGAGGGAUGAAAGCUGGGGGAGCAACCGG
rnacentral:rRNA from 1 species